rnacentral:misc_RNA from 1 species
UUGCAGGAUCAACCAGGUAGCAUUCCUCACGGACAUCGGGUCGCAAGACGCGUAUCGUCAGUGCGGCACCGAACGUCAUUCGAAUGUGGCAUUCAUGCCAUUUUCUAGGCAACUUGGGAUCGAGGACCCCAUACCACUGCGUUUUCCGUAUCCCGAAGGUCGAGCGGGAGCCCAUGGGCCGCAACAACCGCGGCGUACGCGGGCGUUGCGGAACACGAGUCUCGCUUCAAGGUUCGACCGUAGCCGCGCCGUGUGAACGGGCAGCGCUAGUCGAACGUGAAACUGGUUAGCCGACACAAUUCCAUCACGUAGGCAUGCAACACAGGAAACCGACAACCACGGCCAAGGCAACUCGCUCUUGUGCCAACCAAUGAAGAGGAAUGCACGGGAGGACGUCGCUGCCCGAGCAGGGAUCCAACCAACCCAUACAAGA